GAUGAAGAACGUAGCGAAAUGCGAUAAGUAAUGUGAAUUGCAGAAUUCAGUGAAUCAUCGAAUCUUUGAACGCACAUCGCGCCCCCUGGUAUUCCGGGGGGCAUGCCUGUCCGAGCGUCAUUGCUGCCCUCAAGCACGGCUUGUGUGUUGGGCCUCCGUCCUCCUCCCGGGGGACGGGCCCGAAAGGCAGCGGCGGCACCGCGUCCGGUCCUCGAGCGUAUGGGGCUUCGUCACCCGCUCUUGUAGGCCCGGCCGGCGCUUGCCGACACAUCAAUCUUUUUUCCAGGUUGACCUCGGAUCAGGUAGGGAUACCCGCUGAACUUAAGCAUAUCAAUAAGCGGAGGA
rnacentral:misc_RNA from 1 species